UGGGGAUUAGUUUAAUGGUAGAACGACGGACUCUGACUCCGUUAGUCGUGGUUCGAGUCCACGAUCCCCAGCCA
rnacentral:tRNA from 1 species